rnacentral:rRNA from 1 species
UACGUAGGGUGCGAGCGUUGUCCGGAAUUAUUGGGCGUAAAGAGCUCGUAGGCGGUCUGUCGCGUCGAUCGUGAAAACUUGGGGCUUAACCCUGAGCUUGCGGUCGAUACGGGCAUGACUGGAGUUCGGCAGGGGAGACUGGAAUUCCUGGUGUAGCGGUGAAAUGCGCAGAUAUCAGGAGGAACACCGGUGGCGAAGGCGGGUCUCUGGGCCGAUACUGACGCUGAGGAGCGAAAGUGUGGGGAGCGAACAGG